GUCUACGGCCAUACCACUCUGAACGCGCCCGAUCUCGUCUGAUCUCCGAAGCUAAGCAGGGUUGGGCCUGGUUAGUAUUUGGAUGGGAGACAAUCAAGAGGCAGAAU
rnacentral:rRNA from 1 species